GCCGAACAGCUAGCUUGAACUACUGGGAGUUAACAUUAAAAUACAAAUAACCCCCUACAACUUACAACAAGAUAAAACAAAUCAUUUUUCCACCUGAGUAUGGGCGACAGAAAAGGUUACAAAAAGCCAUAGUGAAAGUACCGCAAGGGAAAGCUGAAAGAGAAGUGAAACAACCCAUUUAAGCUUGAAAAAGCAGAGCUUAGACCUCGUACCUUUUGCAUCAUGAUCUAGCCAGCACCCCUGAGCAAAGGGCACUACAGUUCAGACCCCCGAAACCAAGCGAGCUACUCCGAGACAGCCUGCAGAAGGGCCAACCCGUCUCUGUGGCAAAAGAGUGGGAAGAGCUCCGAGUAGAAGUGACAGACUUACCGAGCUUGGUGAUAGCUGGUUGCCCAGGAAAUGGAUAGAAGUUCAGCCCCCAACCACCUCGGGCCAGUUUUAGGUCACUUACGUGUCACCCACUACAGACUUUGAGAAAGAUGAGGGAGUUAGUCAGAAGAGGUACAGCUCUUCUGAAAUAGGACACAACCUUCACAGGAGGCUAAGGGUCACACUUUCUUAAGGCAAGACGUUCCAGUGGGCCUGAAAGCAGCCAUCUGUGAAGAAAGCGUUAAAGCUCGGACCGCAAUUUAACCCUAUUAUGCCGAUAACACCCCCUACCCCCCUAAUUUUACUGGGCCGUCCCAUGCCACCAUGGGAACGACUAUGCUAGAAUGAGUAACAAGAGGGCCGGACCCUCUCCCCGCACACGUGUAAGCCGGAACGGACCAGACGCCGGCAAAUAACGAACUCAACGCUAGAGAGCACCGUGGCCCCCAAGAAAAACAGGAAGAACCCACCAGUCAUAUCGUUAGCCCUACACAGGAGUGCCCCCGGGAAAGACUAAAAGGGCGGGAAGGAACUCGGCAAACACAAGCCUCGCCUGUUUACCAAAAACAUCGCCUCCUGCAAAAAUCGACGUAUAGGAGGUCCCGCCUGCCCAAUGACUAUAUGUUCAAUGGCCGCGGUAUUUUGACCGUGCUAAGGUAGCGCAAUCACUUGUCGCUUAAAUGGAGACCUGUAUGAAUGGCGCCACGAGGGCUUGACUGUCUCCCCCCCCCAGUCAGUGAAAUUGAUCUGUCCGUGCAGAAGCGGACAUUAUACCGCAAGACGAGAAGACCCUUUGGAGCUUGAGACAUAUGGCCAACCACGUUAAACAAUUCCCUGAUGAUAAGAACGGUAUGGAAUUAUUUGGCCUGACUGUCUUCGGUUGGGACGACCGCGGGGGAGAACAGAGCCCCCAUGUGGAACGGGGUAACCCUAGAGCCCAGAGAGACAUCUCCAAGCCACAGACACAUCUGACCAAUUAUGAUCCGGCACUUAUGCCGAGCAACGGACCAAGUUACCCUAGGGAUAACAGCGCAAUCCCCUCCCAGAGUCCCUAUCGCCGAGGGGGUUUACGACCUCGAUGUUGGAUCAGGACAUCCUAAUGGCGCAGCCGCUAUUAAGGGUUCGUUUGUUCAACGAUUAAAGUCCUACGUGAUCUGAGUUCAGACCGGAGAAAUCCAGGUCAGUUUCUAUCUGCUACGCCACCUUUCCUAGUACGAAAGGACCGGGAAGAGGAGGCCAAUGCCGGAGGCACGCCUCACCCCCACCUAAUGAAACCAACUGAAUUGGACAAGGGGAAGCAAGACUUUGCCCUAGAUAAAGGGCAU
rnacentral:rRNA from 1 species